rnacentral:rRNA from 1 species
CCUACGGGAGGCAGCAGUGGGGAAUAUUGCGCAAUGGGCGAAAGCCUGACGCAGCGACGCCGCGUGAGGGUGAAGGUCUUUGGAUCGGAAACCUCUGUUAGCAGGGAAGAACGGUCACUGUGCUAAUCAGCAGUGAAUUGACGGUAUCCGCAAAGGAAGCACCGGUUAACUUCGUGCCAGCAGCCGCGGUAAUACGGAGGGUGCGAGCGUUAAUCGGAAUUACUGGGGGUAAAGCGCUCGGAGGCGGUACGGCAAGUCAAGAGUGAAAUCCCCGCGCUCAACGUGGGAACUGCCUUUGAAACUGGCUAACUGGAGUGUGUGAGAGGAUAGUGGAAUUCCAGGUGUAGGAGUGAAAUCCGUAGAUAUCUGGAGGAACAUCAGUGGCGAAGGCGACUAUCUGGCACAUAACUGACGCUGAGGAGCGAAAGCGUGGGUAGCAAACAGGAUUAGAUACCCCUGUAGUC